CUGCUGUGGAACUUGUCUCUGUCUCUUUUUCUGCUUUUGUCCCUCAGUCGAAUUCUUUCUUCUGAGGAGGCAAGGACUGAAGUCGCUACAGACCCCUAAGGACAGGCCAUCGGUAACUCUGGGUAAAUCAGAUCUCCUCCACGGGUCUAUCAAUGAGAAGAAAGUGCCAACUAAAAACUUUUAGAAAAUACCCAGUUUACUCAAGGAAAAUAACAUGCAUUGAAGGCGAUUGCUCAAUAGAGAGAAGUUGAAACAGCAGACUAAUUGCCUGUUUGUGACACCCAUGUAAUCAACUUGCCAUUUGUACUCAUCAGUUCAGGCUGUGUUUUCCCACUGAGACAUCAUUUACAGUGCUCUAAACAUAUUUUCACAACAUUCACCUGACAACAUCAGCUGAGAGAAAAAUUUUCAGACUGCAGAGAAACAUCAGGAGGCCAUGAAUUCUUAAUCAACACACCAAAUUAUGAAAAUGGCCUAUAGGUUGAGGUUGAUCUGAAAGAUAGGACUAUUUGUGAUCCAGAAUCAAAAGAGUCAAGAAAAGUCUGAGAAUUUCAUCCUUGGAGCAGAAAGUAAAAGUGUUCUAGAGCCAAAAGUAGUAACAAAGAUGGAGGGCAAGAGAUCAUUGGAUUAAAUCAUAUUGGCAGACCAAAUUUCAGAAGAAUCAACACACCAGAGACAAGAAGAACUUGAGGUUAAAGCAAAGUUCCCUUAUA
rnacentral:lncRNA from 1 species